rnacentral:rRNA from 1 species
UGCAUAGCCGACCUGAGAGGGUGAUCGGCCACACUGGAACUGAGACACGGUCCAGACUCCUACGGGAGGCAGCAGUAGGGAAUCUUCCGCAAUGGGCGAAAGCCUGACGGAGCAACGCCGCGUGAGUGAUGAAGGUCUUCGGAUCGUAAAACUCUGUUAUUAGGGAAGAACAUAUGUGUAAGUAACUGUGCACAUCUUGACGGUACCUAAUCAGAAAGCCACGGCUAACUACGUGCCAGCAGCCGCGGUAAUACGUAGGUGGCAAGCGUUAUCCGGAAUUAUUGGGCGUAAAGCGCGCGUAGGCGGUUUUUUAAGUCUGAUGUGAAAGCCCACGGCUCAACCGUGGAGGGUCAUUGGAAACUGGAAAACUUGAGUGCAGAAGAGGAAAGUGGAAUUCCAUGUGUAGCGGUGAAAUGCGCAGAGAUAUGGAGGAACACCAGUGGCGAAGGCGACUUUCUGGUCUGUAACUGACGCUGAUGUGCGAAAGCGUGGGGAUCAAACAGGAUUAGAUACCCUGGUAGUCCACGCCGUAAACGAUGAGUGCUAAGUGUUAGGGGGUUUCCGCCCCUUAGUGCUGCAGCUAACGCAUUAAGCACUCCGCCUGGGGAGUACGACCGCAAGGUGAAACUCAAAGGAAUUGACGGA